rfam:Oryza nivara chromosome 7, whole genome shotgun sequence.
AAUAAACGCAGUUGUGGGUUUCAGUGCCCAACGUUUGACUAUUCAUCUUAUUUGGAAUAUUACUAUGAUUAGUAUUUUUAUUGUUAUUAAAUGAUAAUAUAUGAAUAAUACUUUAUGCGUAACUUAAUUUUUUAAAAAAUCCAUAAAUUUUUUAAAUAAGACGGACGGUUAAACGUUGGAUGUGGAAAGUUAUGGUUACACUUAAA